rnacentral:lncRNA from 1 species
UCCAACUUAAUGAAGAGAUUGAAGCCAGGAAAGAUGAAGAUAUUGCUUUGAUGGCUGCUUAGGGUACUUAUGAAGAAAUUUUAAGGACUAGUUGAAUGUACUAGGUACAUAAUUAGAGAAAGUUGUCAAUGACUUGUCAAAACUUUAAACCAGAGAAGUGGUUUACAGUGGCGGAUCUAUAAAUUUUCUUCAGGGGGUUCAAAAAAAUAAAAAUAUAAAUGUG